GCCAUCUAACUUUGCUGCAUUUCAUUACGGUGAAAUUGGUUGUUAUCGUCUGGUUCCGUCUCCGAUUGAAAUUAUCAGCCGUUCGGCCGAAAGAUCAGAAAAUCAAGGUUGUAAUUAUUUCCUUAAACGACGUCAUGAUGUAAUACGCGUUUAUCAAUAAAAUAAUGUAAACGCUGUCGUGUGUUAGCGGUUGUGUUAAAUGUCAACAGGCGCAACCAAGUAUGUCCGCCAGGGGAGGGUCGCCUGAUUGCAGAUAUAUUACACUGUUGUAUUGAAGAAAAUCAUCAAAUUGCCGAUUUAAUUAUAUGUCCGUAUAUAAAAUACAGGAUUUAUAUAAAGGUCAGAGAAAUAGAAAAGAUUUUCCAAAGAAGACAUGAAUUACUUAAGAAGCUAUUUUGAUAUCAUUUCAAUGAUUUAUAAGUAUGUUGUACUUAAAUGAAUUUAACAAUGAAGAUAAGUUUUUAAUGCAAACAAUAGGAAUAUUCUCUAAUUUUCUAUAAUCAUAAAAACAUUGGAGUGUAGGAGAAAUGAAGAAAGCUGCUGUGCCCCAGGACUUAUCAGAAGAAUGGGGUCUAUGAUCAGCAGCUUUUUUCGGACAGGUGGUCAUUUAUUGUCAUCUGGGAUUUCCGAGUCCACUCGGCAAACAGUGCUUGCACUGUUGGAAGAAAUGCGACAGAGGGAAAAUUCACAUAUUCAUUGGUCGGCCAUAGAAAGUUUUCUUGUGCAUAUUCCAAAGGUAGAUAAAAUAC